GAGUUUUGUCAAUAAACAAUGUUGCCAUGGUAAUCUCAAUAUAGGAGCUAUAGCUCAACAAAAUUAUUAUUAUGGAGUUUUCGAAAGUAUGAAAAUUAGUAGUGUUUGAAUUUGCAAGCAGGCAAUUUGUCAUACGAUCGGAACUAACAAUUGAUUUGGAGAAAGAAAAGCACAAUGUGUGACACAUACGUCUCUUGUUAUCUCCAUGACUGUUAUGCUUCGUGCUCGUCGUAUUAUUGUUGUUCUCAUAGUCAUGUCAAACUUUAUUGUCGCUGUUCCAGACAUCGUCAUUGCUACUGUUAUUGCUGGAGAAGGAAAUGUCUGUUGUAAAAUGAGGCACGACGCGUUAUGCAGUCGACAUGAAUGACUAUGGAAAUACAAACAACAACAACAAACACUCUCACACACACUAUAGCACGAAAUACUUUCACCAAAUUUAUGUUACUAGUUUAGUUGUUA